UUUUGUAUUGUGUCUGCACAUUUGAGUACUAUUCAAAUUCAUGCAUGGUGCAAGUUUUUGGACGGCUAUCUGCUGACCCUAAAGAGAGCAUAACAAGUGAAAAACCCAGACAGCUGAAUGACUGAACAAGAGCGCAGAGGUGAAAUUGCAGUUGAUUUAAACGAAAUCAAUAGUGAAAAUCUCUGUCCCCAUGGUAUCAACCUGCGCUAUGCUGAUGGGUAGACGGAGAAAGUGUGCAUGGAAUUAAAUAUACUCUCUCCACUGCAUGACUGAAACUGCUCAUCUCCUGGGAUUUUCAUGCGCAACAGUCUCUAGCAUUUACACAGAAUGGUGUGAAUGUGCCGUGUUGAUGAAAGCGGACAGAGGAGAAUGGCCAGACUGAUUCAAGUUGUCAGGAUAGCUACAGUUACUCAAAUAACCACUCUUUACAACCAUGGUGAGAAAAAAAUUAUCUCAGAAUGCAUAAUACACCAACUCUUAGAGCAGAUGGGCAACAACAGCAGCAGAACACAUCAGAAUCCACUCCAGUAAGCCAAGAACAGGAAUCCAAGGCUGCACUGAGUACCGGCUCAUACAAACUGGACAGCUGAAGAUUAGAAAAAGGGCAGGCAAGGUUUUAUUUCCAAUCUCUGUGUUGUUGCCACAUGAUCUGUUCAGGUGUGCCUUUAAAGUGGCUGGUGAGAGUACUGUAUAUCAAACAUUCACUAAAAUGACUAAUGGUUUAGUGUCACUCCGUUUCUGUAAUAGUUAUAAUCAAAAUUAUACGUUAUUAUAUGGAUACAGAUAAAAAUUUGUAUAGGUAAUUACAGUAUAUGGGCUAUAGUAAUGUGUUGAUAUUACAUAUUUUUCACAGACUUCUUCCUACUGAUGUAUUGUUUGUUGAUAAAUACCCAUUUAUUAAUAACGUGCCACCAACAAUUCAUUACAAACUACAAAAAACAGUUAUGUUUCUUUCUUUCCUUUAUUUGUUUGAUAGUAAAGAUCUGGGUUUGGCACUCAACACAAUUCCCUCUCUUUACUAUAAUUUCAGUACCAUUGUAUGUUACACACUGCUGUUCCUGGGUUUCUCUCAACUGACCACUAAUAGCAUAGACAGUGGCAGCAUGGGACAAAGCUAAUGAUAGAUUAUGUAAUGUGAAGCUGCUGAGAAAAACACAGGCACAUGGACAGGAACAUGUCUGUGCUCUUGUCUGCUUCAUUUAUGAAGUAAGCUUUCUUUCUGUCUACUGUAGAUGAUUCAUUGAGAAUGUGGUCUUAUACCUGUAUUCAUGUUGAAAACAAGUGACAUACAAGGUCAUUCAUUGUCAUUUGUGGAGGUGGGAAUAAGGGGAACUAGACUCACUCAAUGAUCCAGCACAGCCCGUGCUGAGAGUGAUUAAAAUGUAAACAGCUGCAAACUCUCUCUCUCUCUCUCUCUCUCUCUCUCUCUCUCUCUCUCUCUCUCUCUCUCU